AAUGUCAACUUUUUUUUGCAAAGUACAAUGUUUUUCAGUUAAAGAACUAUUUCAUAGAACUAUUUCAUAGUUAAGGUGAUGUACUUUGCAAAUAAAGAAGACUUGUAUGUUUUUGUAGAAACAUUCUUCUCAUUAUUUUAGUGUCCUCUUGUGGAAGAAUACAGAACUGAGAACACUUUUUGAUUUUGUGUCCAAAAAGUUUAGCAUUUUGGGGUAAUUUUUGAAACUUACUGUGUUCAGGAUUAUUGAAAAUCUAUUGUGAAGAUUUAGUAAAAUAAAGUGGUGUCUUUUCCCUUUUAAUUUUUAAUACAGAAUAUGUAACUCCUCAGGUUCCUGGCUAUCAUCCUGCUUUAUAGAAGGUGAGAAGUAGUGUGUUUUGGAGUCAGUAUGUAAUUUUGAACAUUUGAAAAAGAGUUCAAAGAGGACAUUUCUGUAAAUAACAAGAUUUUUGGAGAGGCACAGCCUAUUGGUGAUCCUCUAUUGCCCAGCGGUGUCUGAAGAUCCAUGAGAUCAGCAAGAGAGUAUUUGAGUUGAAGAGCCAGAACGGAGAUGUGUGUGUGCAAAAGAAAGGAGAUACAAUCGUGAAGGAAGUGGCUGGGAGGCUCUAAGGAUGUCUAAGAAGGUUUCUGAAAUGGGGAAAGUGCCAACCUCAGAUCAUCAAAGGGUUACCUCGUCAAAACUGCCCAAGAGGUUAUAACAAAGAUAAUAGAAUUGCUUGAGAUUUCAAAUACAGUCUGCUGCACAAAAUCCAGCAAUACUUCAGUUGCAUAGUGAAAGGUAAGAGAAAGAAAGUGGAAUUUACCAACUUUUAACAUAGGCUGUCCGUAAUUUUUUUGCUCUCAUUUGCACCAGAAAUGCAAGUUCACUUAGUUUUGAGUUUGCCACUGCAAGGUUGAACAUUCUCCCAGCUACCAAAGUAAAUGGAGGUAGAGCUUAUUUUUAAGAAUUCUUGGUUUGAGAGAGUAUUG
rnacentral:lncRNA from 1 species